UAGUAUUAGUUAUGUUCUUGAAAAUCAAAAGAGUUGGCGGUAUUUUAGUCUAUUCAGAGGAACCUGUCCUAUAAUUGAUGGUCCACGAUCUUUAGUACUUAAUUUAAAGGUUUGCAUAUCGCCGUAGUUUGAAUAUUCUUGAAAGAAUUAAAUGUUCAAAAUUUUUUUAAAGAAGGGAAUUCAGGUCAAGAUGUAGCGUAUAGUUAAGAAGAGAUGGGUUACAAUAAGUUUACUUAAAAUGGAUUAAUAUAUUGAAAUUUUUUAUGAAGGUGGAUUUGAAGGUAAU
rnacentral:rRNA from 1 species